rnacentral:rRNA from 1 species
UACGUAGGGUCCGAGCGUUGUCCGGAAUUAUUGGGCGUAAAGGGCUCGUAGGCGGUUUGUCACGUCGGGAGUGAAAACUCAGGGCUCAACCCUGAGCGUGCUUCCGAUACGGGCAGACUAGAGGUAUGCAGGGGAGAACGGAAUUCCUGGUGUGGCGGUGGAAUGCGCAGAUAUCAGGAGGAACACCGGUGGCGAAGGCGGUUCUCUGGGCAUUACCUGACGCUGAGGAGCGAAAGCAUGGGGAGCGAACAGG